GGGGCGACAAGUGAGUGCCCGAGCAGUGCAGCGUGUAAGGUGCCUCCUUUACCCCCAACCCCGCCUUCCACACAGGGUGGGAGGUGGACUCUGUGGAUGAACCUCUGAACUCUGGGGCUGCACUGGCCAAAGACAGCAACUGUAUGUAUUCCACAG